rnacentral:rRNA from 1 species
UACGUAGGGUGCGAGCGUUGUCCGGAAUUAUUGGGCGUAAAGGGCUCGUAGGCGGUCUGUCGCGUCGGUAGUGAAAACUCAGGGCUUAACCCUGAGCCUGCUUCCGAUACGGGCAGACUAGAGGUAUGCAGGGGAGAAUGGAAUUCCUGGUGUAGCGGUGAAAUGCGCAGAUAUCAGGAGGAACACCAGUGGCGAAGGCGGUUCUCUGGGCAUUACCUGACGCUGAGGAGCAAAAGUGUGGGGAGCGAACAGG